rnacentral:rRNA from 1 species
CAGAGGUCCCAAGCGUUGUUCGGAUUCACUGGGCGUAAAGGGUGCGUAGGUGGUCGGGUAAGUUUGAUGUGAAAGCUCCGAGCUUAACUCGGAAAUUGCAUUGAAUACUAUUCGGCUAGAGGGUUGGAGGGGGGACUGGAAUUCUCGGUGUAGCAGUGAAAUGCGUAGAUAUCGAGAGGAACACCAGUGGCGAAGGCGAGUCCCUGGACAACUCCUGACACUGAGGCACGAAAGCUAGGGGAGCAAACAGGAUUAGAUACCCUGGUAGUCCUAGCCGUAAACGGUGCACAUUUGCUGUAAAAGGAUCGACCCCUUUUGUGGCGUAGCAAACGCGAUAAAUGUGCCGCCUGGGAAGUACGGUCGCAAGAUUA